rnacentral:rRNA from 1 species
GACGAACGCUGGCGGCGUGCCUAAUACAUGCAAGUAGAACGCUGAAGGAGGAGCUUGCUUCUCUGGAUGAGUUGCGAACGGGUGAGUAACGCGUAGGUAACCUGCCUGGUAGCGGGGGAUAACUAUUGGAAACGAUAGCUAAUACCGCAUAAUAGUAGAUGUUGCAUGACAUUUGCUUAAAAGGUGCAAUUGCAUCACUACCAGAUGGACCUGCGUUGUAUUAGCUAGUUGGGGGGGUAACGGCUCACCAAGGCGACGAUACAUAGCCGACCUGAGAGGGUGGUCGGCCACACUGGGACUGAGACACGGCCCAGACUCCUACGGGAGGCAGCAGUAGGGAAUCUUCGGCAAUGGACGGAAGUCUGACCGAGCAACGCCGCGUGAGUGAAGAAGGUUUUCGGAUCGUAAAGCUCUGUUGUAAGAGAAGAACGAGUGUGAGAGUGGAAAGUUCACACUGUGACGGUAUCUUACCAGAAAGGGACGGCUAACUACGUG